UCAGGGACAUUGUCCAUACCUUGAGAACACGCAGCAGACCAACAUGGGUAUGGAUAAUACCAGCUGCAGUGUGACCCAGCUGUGAAAAGAAUAAGCCAGGCCUCCCAGGAGCAUCUGCCCAGCGCUGGGGGAAGUCAGCAUUACAAUCAUA